rnacentral:rRNA from 1 species
UACGGAGGGGGCUAGCGUUGUUCGGAAUUACUGGGCGUAAAGCGCACGUAGGCGGCUUUGUAAGUUAGAUGUGAAAGCCCGGGGCUCAACUCCGGAAUUGCCUUUAAGACUGCAUCGCUUGAACACGGGAGAGGUGAGUGGAAUUCCGAGUGUAGAGGUGAAAUUCGUAGAUAUUGGGAAGAACACCUGUGGCGAAAGCGGCUCACUGGACCACAACUGACGCUGAGGCGCGAAAGCUAGGGGAGCAAACAGG